CUUGGUCAUUUAGAGGAAGUAAAAGUCGUAACAAGGUUUCCGUAGGUGAACCUGAGGAAGGAUCAUGAUCGUACAAUAGAGGCACCCAAGGCUGUCGUUGACCUUUUACAGGUCGUGCACGCCCAAAGUGCUGUCUUACAUCCAUAUCACCCCUUUGUGCAUUACCGCGUGGGGCCCUUAUUUGGCUUGUUCCAAUUGGGGGUUUCAUGUUUUUACAACAGACACUACAUGUAUAGAAUGUCUUUGCGAUCACACGCAAUCAAUACAACUUUCAACAACGGAUCUCUUGGCUCUCGCAUCGAUGAAGAACGCAGCGAAAUGCGAUACGUAAUGUGAAUUGCAGAAUUCAGUGAAUCAUCGAAUCUUUGAACGCACCUUGCGCCCCUUGGUAUUCCGAGGGGCACACCCGUUUGAGUGUCGUGAACACCCUCAACCUUCUUGGUUUCUCAACUAGGAAGGCUUGGACUUUGGAGGUUUUCCUUGCUGGCUUUCAUUUGUCGGCUCCUCCCAAAUAAAUUAGUGGGAUCUGCUCUGCUGAUCCUUGACGUGAUAAGNAUGCUUCUACGUCUUGGGUUUUGCACUGUUGCUCUGGAACCCGCUUCCAAUGGUCUUUAAAUGAAAGACAAUGUUCGAGUUGCAACUCGACCUUGACCUCAAAUCGGGUGAGACUACCCGCUGAACUUAAGCAUAUCAAU
rnacentral:rRNA from 1 species